UGGUUGUUCAAGUCGUGCUUGCCUUCGGC
rnacentral:sRNA from 1 species